rnacentral:rRNA from 1 species
ACUCAAAUGAAUUGACGGGGGCCCGCACAAGCGGUGGAGCAUGUGGUUUAAUUCGACGCAACGCGAAGAACCUUACCUAGGCUUGACAUGGCCGGGAAAGCCAGGGGAAACCUUGGCCCCUCUUCGGAGUCCGGUCACAGGUGCUGCAUGGCUGUCGUCAGCUCGUGUCGUGAGAUGUUGGGUUAAGUCCCGCAACGAGCGCAACCCUUGUCACUAGUUACCAGCGGGUAAAGCCGGGCACUCUAGUGAGACUGCCGGUGCCAAACCGGAGGAAGGUGGGGAUGACGUCAAGUCAUCAUGGUCCUUACGUCUAGGGCUACACACGUGCUACAAUGGACGGGACAACGGGUUGCCAACCCGCAAGGGGGAGCCAAUCCCACAAAUCCGUCCUCAGUUCGGAUUGUCGUCUGCAACUCGACGGCAUGAAGCUGGAAUCGCUAGUAAUCGCGGAUCAGCUACGCCGCGGUGAAUACGUUCCCGGGCCUUGUACACACCGCCCGU